ACGUUACGGACUGAAUUUUGAUUGAACCUUGGUAUAAUAAAAUAGGAAAAUCCGUUCAUUUUAGAAAUAGUGAGGGUUCAAGUCCCUCUAUCCCCA
rnacentral:tRNA from 4 species